rnacentral:misc_RNA from 1 species
UAAUCUCACUCCGACAGCUUUCUUGUUGUCUGGAGGUGGACUUGGACCUUGCCGUGUCACAACGGCUGGUCUGAAAUGCAUGAGUGCACCCUGCUGUAGCAGCGUCUUCAGUGUGAUAAGUAUCUUCACUGAUUCAAGUUCCCUCGGGACACGCUCGUCUGGUGGGCUCUGGGCUUCUAACCGUCCGCAUGGACAAACUUUGACA